rnacentral:rRNA from 1 species
AAUUUUYCCAAUGGGCGAAAGCCCGACGGAGCAAAACCGCGUGAGGGAGGAAGGCCUGUGGGUUGUAAACCUCUUUUAUCAGGGAAGAAACCAAUGACGGUACCUGAGGAAUCAGCAUCCAGCUAACUCCGUGCCAGCAGCCGCGGUAAGACGGAGGAUGCAAGCGUUAUCCGGAAUUAUUGGGCGUAAAGCGUCCGCAGGUGGUUUUACAAGCCUGCUGCAAAGCGCAGAGCUUAACUCCGUAAAGGCAGUGGAAACUGUAAGUCUAGAGUGCGGUAGGGGUAGAGGGAAUUCCCGGUGUAGCGGGAA